rnacentral:tRNA from 1 species
GGAUACAUAGCUCAGUGGCAGAGUGCUUGCCUAACAUGCAACGAGGACUUGGGUCUAAUCCCCAGUGGUACCA